rnacentral:lncRNA from 1 species
AGCCAAGAGAUAUGCAGGUUGUGCUUAGCAGCCGAUCAGUUUGAGACCUGCGAGGCCGCAUCCCCAGGGUUUUUCAUCUCUUCUGUUUCCAUUUGUAAAGACUUGUUUGCACUAUUUCUUCUGGACCCAGACUCAUUCACUACUGAGGCCCACUCCCUUGAUGUCAAAGAAUACUGGCUGCUGUUUUUAGUUCAUCCUCACAGAAACUCAGGCUAUACCUAUCUGCUUCAGCUCAGUGCUGAUACUUCCUGCCAGUUGUGGACUGAACUUCUGAUGCAGAAAGCCUGCUAAGAAAACCUCUUCCUUGAACCAGAGCUUUCCAGAAGUCAAGAGUGGCACUGGCCUUAUGAUCUAUGAUAUGCUUUGUUGUAAAUU